GAUGAACGCUGGCGGCGUGCCUAAUACAUGCAAGUCGAGCGAACAGACGAGGAGCUUGCUCCUCUGACGUUAGCGGCGGACGGGUGAGUAACACGUGGAUAACCUACCUAUAAGACUGGGAUAACUUCGGGAAACCGGAGCUAAUACCGGAUAAUAUAUUGAACCGCAUGGUUCAAUAGUGAAAGACGGUUUUGCUGUCACUUAUAGAUGGAUCCGCGCCGCAUUAGCUAGUUGGUAAGGUAACGGCUUACCAAGGCAACGAUGCGUAGCCGACCUGAGAGGGUGAUCGGCCACACUGGAACUUAGACACGGUCCAGACGCCUACGGGAGGCAGCAGUAGGGAAUCUGCCGCAAUGGGCGAAAGCCUGACGGAGCAACGCCGCGUGAGUGAUGAAGGUCUUCGGAUCGUAAAACUCUGUUAUUAGGGAAGAACAAAUGUGUAAUUAACCGUGCACGGCUUGACGGUACCUAAUCAGAAAGCCACGGCUAACUACGUG
rnacentral:rRNA from 1 species